CAUCCAUAGAAGCUCUGUAAAAAGGACAGGGAGGAAAGGUGGCACUUCCUCUUGGCCAGGAUUUCAGGAGCAUCCCUGUAGCUCUCCUCAUCUGCUAUCCCUGCCAGGGCCAGCACACAGGUGGCCAGCUCCUGAGGAGAGUUACAAAUUCAGCAGAAUGUCAAGCUGGGAAGGCAAGAAGGGAAGCAUCUCUGAGAGCAGCUCCACAGAGCAGCCUGCACACGCUGGAAGACUGCAGGCUUCCGGAAGAGGCAGACAGGACACAGGCUCCUGCUCUGCUUUGCCACACCUGUCAGCUCAUCCUCCUCUGGCGUUAACCACCACGCUUACACUGUUGCCGGAAACACGAGUCCUCCCACAGCUACAGAUAUGCAACCUAGGAAAUAUUUUUCUUCCUACGGGCUUUUGUCUCAGAAAAUGUUAAUAAGCUGCAAGAAUUCGCGGUGGUUGGAUGGAAUCUCUCUCUUCUUUCCUUCCAUUGUAAUGUCACAGCAGUGCCCCAUCACAUCCACUCCGUGC